GACGAACGCUGGCGGCGUGCCUAAUACAUGCAAGUCGAACGCAGUGGGGACGGGUGAGUAACACGUGGGUAACCUCCCAUCAGAGGGGAUAACACUUGGAAACAGGUGCUAAACCGAUACUGAUGGAUGAACCAGCGGUGGAUUAGCUAGUUGGUGGGGUAACGGCUCACCAAGGCGACGAUGCAUAGCCGACCUGAGAGGAUGAUCGGCCACACUGGGACUGAGACACGGCCCAGACUCCUACGGGAGGCAGCAGUAGGGAAUAUUCGGCAAUGGACGAAAGCCUGACCGAGCAACGCCGCGUGAGUGAAGAAGGUUUUCGGAUCGUAAAACUCUUUUGUCAGAGAAGCGGUAUCUAAACAAGAAGCCACGGCUAACUACGUGCCAGCAGCCGCGGUAAUAC
rnacentral:rRNA from 1 species